GUCACUUUGCCGGAGUGGUUAACGGGAUCGCCUGCUACCUCAGCUACAUAGCGGUUGCACUUUGUGCGCGAGUGUUCGAAUCGCUCAGGUGACG